UCCUUAUUUAGGGAGUGGGGGUGUAACCAUGAGGGGCUCAAAAGGAACCAGUUGGCACACUCAAAUUAGGAUCAUUCCCGGAGUUUUUAAUAACGGGGUUGUUUACAAAUAUGUGGGCAGGGUGUAAAGAAACUACAAGGAAUUACACAGAACCCCUGGGACUCUGUGCCCACCCAGGCCUGCAGGGGAGAGAGAAGGAGUGGUUAACAGAGCAGGGAUAGAGGCUGUAGGAAGAGGGCCCUCUGAACGGAGCUCAGACCCGGGGCCCAGGAAAAUUGGAUCUGCAAGGCCAAGACAAAGGUUCCUGGCACUGCAAAGGACCUUGUUUCCUCUUCUCACAAUUUCAGAGGUCUGGAACUUCCAAUCCUCCACCCGGCAGCCAGAUGGAUCUAUCAGGAAUGAAGUAUCUUCACUCUUUUGAUUAAACCUCCCUAUCUCAUCCUAGUGCCCUCAGGAUAAAACCUAGACUCCAUAGUUUGGCAGCAGGUAGAAAGCAAUUUUCCCAGGAUUGAGAGGGGCAACUUGGAGACAACUCUGAAUUGCUUGCUAAACUAGCCAGCAGAAUGCACGGAAAACAGCUGAGAAUGUUAACGGAGUCUUUGAAGCAACGCCGCAAAGAAUAUUGUUUAUUUAGGAUCACAGCCCCCCUUACAGGUGAGGACACGAGACCCGGAAAGUGUAAACAACAUACCGAACAAAGGCAACCCAGCCUAUAAGAGAACUAACAGGAGGAGAAACUGACCUGGCUGGUUUGGUAACAAGUCCAAAGAACACAGUGUCCUCUGGAUGCUGACAGCUGCUGGAAUACAUCUGUUCUUCCUGACGGUCAGGCCGACCCUCUUUGGCCAGUUGACUCCUGGCAAGCGGAGAAGGUCAACAGCAUUUAUGGAAAGCCCACUCCAUCCUUGACAGUGAGAUGUGCCGAGUCCCCAUAUCGUGUUCGUCCGCAUCCUCAACGCACUCUGCACACUUGGGAGUGAUAGUUCUAAAAUGAAAAGAUGGCAGCUGAUACAGAGAAGCAACCGGAUCCAGGCAACCGAACGGGUUUUGAGGCAAUGCCAGAUCUCAUCUGGGAGGGAAGCAGAGAAAAUUUACCAUAAGGAAAAAAGAAGAAGAAGAAGAAGAAACAAGAAAGAAGGAAAUCAAACUGCCUGCUUUUGUCACCAUGGAGAAUGUUUGCGGCGGGUCUGACUAUCCACUUCCUAGGUCAAGCUAUGUCCACUGCACACUGUUGAUGGAACCAUUAACACGCCACCAUUAGGAGCUGGUCACAAAACCUUCCUAUGCUUUGGGGAAAACACCAGGACUUGACCUCCGGCCUUGGUGUGAAAUGAGAGGGUGCCCACGACGCGCUUAACAGGCUGCUUUGCAGGCCGUGCUGCUUCUGCUUGAGACCAUCUGGUGACUCAGGGAGGGGUGUUCCAGCUGUGAGAGCCAUUUUCUCUCUUUCAGAUGACUCUGGGUAUUCCUGUUCUGGUCAGGGUUCAGAAGCGUCUGGAUUGGUGAGCACAUCCACAUGCGGAGAGGCUGACACACCCAACUGCAGAGGAUAGAAGCUUCUGUGCCUGGCACCUUUCUGGACCUCACCCUAUGUACCUCUUCACCUGGCUGUUCAUUUCAACUCUCUUGGCAUCAGAAUUGAAUGAAAUCGCAGGACACUCGGUGGGCGCAUGGAGAACUGGAGAACUGGUUGAUGUGACAAUCCCUCCCUUCACAUUUGGCAUCAGAAGUGCGCUGAGGAAAUUGAAGACCAAAGAGACUACACAAUAUCUGCAAAUUGAAUCUCCUUGCACCCAAACCCUCUGUUUUCUAAGGAAUUUCCCAGAUGUUUAGGAAGACUGUCUUGUUUUUCAGGGUCCACUUCUCUAGCAGAGAAAGCACACCCAAUUUGUUCAUACUUGCGGAUGCCACAGGAGUGACCCUACAAUUCAAUCUGGUGCAGUGACCGUGGGAUACCGACAAAGUCUGAUUGGUCACCCCGUGUGCUUCUGAGCUCCGACAAGCAGCAGUUCAUCAUUUCUAUAGAGCAAAGCUUGAGUUGUCAAAUAAACUGAAAUUCUUCAUAAGAUAAUACUGAAGGGUUUCCUUGACUGCACGUUCUGGAGAACUUCAGUACAUCCACUGUUUCCUGAUGGCUCAUGAUAGUCACUCACCUUGAUAAGGUUUGUGUACAACAGGAUCAAAUAAAAUCACGUAUCCAAGGGUGUUUUACAAACUGUACGGUGCUGUACUAACGAUAAUGAUAUCAAAAUAUCAUAUGCGGUGUGAGGACUACGUUUAUGCAGAAGUGGAUCGGAUGCUUCUCAUAAUGUUCUUGUGUCAUGGCUGAGGAGACAUGUCUGCACUUUGGAUGGGGGAAGGGCAAACGCUGCGGUUGACAACAUGGUUGGUCCUGCCUGCUGUCAAGAGCCCACCAAGGAAGGAGCCUGUAAAGCCUCUGGCUGCCUUUAUCUGUC